GGUAUGUUGGAUCCCUGCUUGGGCAGCGACGUCCUCUCAUGUACGCCUAUUCAGUGCUAGGCCAAGUGCGACGUUAGCCUUGGCCGUUCGUUCGGUUUCCUGUGCUGCGUACCUACUGUGAUGGCAACGUUUGUYUAAGUUGUCCCAUGUUCGUCUUGUGCUGCCCGUCAGGGAUUGCUAACUAGAUGAACCGCGAAGCACUCCUUGCGAUCCUCAACGCCCACGGCAUGUCGUGCGGUGUCUGUGGCACGUGGCGAGUUGCUUGUUCUUUCGGAUGCAGAAUGCAUAGCGGGUACGGGGUUGCUGACCUCUAUUUACCCAAAACGAAGCGUUCGUCGCUAACCAGCGCACGACUGUCGUCUCCGUUUUGGCAAGCGGACCCUUGCGGUCGCGCUGGACCACGCGGUGUCGACGUCUGUGAGGAAUGCUACCUGGUUGGAUCCUGCA
rnacentral:misc_RNA from 1 species